rnacentral:rRNA from 1 species
AUGUUGGUUUUUUACCUGUUUCCCCUCAGCAAGGCCCAACUGGGUAAAGCAUGCAAUGCAGGCAUAAGUUGCUACGAGAACCAAACACACCCUAGUGAAAGCACAAGUGCUCCCUGGGUGAUUUUGGUAAUUAAUGUCAACAUAUCUCUUGCUGGACUAAUAUUUUCAUCUAGUAUAUUUCAGAAAGUUCAACAAAGGCGUGGCAUGGACAAUAGGAUGUGGAACCCCUUCAAGAUGUUAAGGACAAAGAUUGGCAAAAGCUCGAGACUCUUCAUUUCUAUUUUAGUGAUCCAAGAUCACAUUGAGUCCAUAGGAAAAUCCAAUACUAUUAAAAGGGGAUGA